rnacentral:rRNA from 1 species
AACUAACGCUGGCGGCGUGCCUAACACAUGCAAGUCGUACGAGAAAGCCGGCUUCGGCUGGUGAGUAAAGUGGCGCACGGGUGAGUAACGCGUGGAUAAUCUGCCCUUAAGUGUGGAAUAACGUACCGAAAGGUGCGCUAAUACCGCAUAAUGCCUGGCAACACAAGUUGUCCGGCCAAAGAAGGCCUCUGUUUACAAGCUUUCGCCGGAGGAUGAGCCCGCGUACCAUUAGCUAGUUGGCAGGGUAAUGGCCUACCAAGGCUACGAUGGUUAGCUGGUCUGAGAGGAUGGCCAGCCACACUGGAACUGAGACACGGUCCAGACUCCUACGGGAGGCAGCAGUGAGGAAUCUUGCGCAAUGGGGGAAACCCUGACGCAGCAACGCCGCGUGAGUGAGGAAGGCCUUCGGUUGUAACUUGCUUUUGUACGGUAACGAAAGGUACUUUUCUUAAUAAAGAAGGACUGAUGACGGUACCGUAAGAAUAAGCACCGGCUAACUACGUGCCAGCA